AUUGAACGCUGGCGGCAGGCCUAACACAUGCAAGUCGAGCGAGCGGCGGACGGGUGUGUAAUGUCUGGGAAACUGCCUGAGGGAGGGGGGGAACUACUGGAAACGGGGGCGAAAACCCCAUAUCAGAAGGGGUGUGUAGAGGGGGUUAGCUAGUGGGGGGGGUAAUGGCUCACCUAGGCGACGAUCCCUAGAUGGUCUGAGAGGGUGACCAGCCACCCUGGAACUGAGACACGGUCCAGACUCCUCCGGGAGGCCGCUGUGGGGAAUAUUGCACAAUGGGCGCAAGCCUGAUGCAGCCAUGCCGCGUGUGUGAAGAAGGCCUUCGGGUUGUAAAGCACUUUCCGCGGGGGAGCGUUCUCGCAGAAAAGCACCGGCUAACUCCGUGCCAGCAGCCGCGGUAAUUC
rnacentral:rRNA from 1 species